UACGAGGGGGGCGAGCGUUGUUCGGAAUUAUUGGGCGUAAAGGGCGCGUAGGCGGUGCGGCAAGUCAGGUGUGAAACCUCCAGGCUUAACUUGGAGCUUGCAUCUGAAACUGCCGUGCUAGAGUGCGGGAGAGGAGAGUGGAAUUCCUGGUGUAGCGGUGAAAUGCGUAGAUAUCAGGAGGAACACCGGUGGCGAAGGCGGCUCUCUGGACCGCAACUGACGCUGAGGCGCGAAAGCUAGGGGAGCAAACAGG
rnacentral:rRNA from 1 species